rnacentral:misc_RNA from 1 species
AGCAGCCGCGGUAAUUCAAGCUCCAAUAGCGUAUAUUAAAGUUGUUGCAGUUAAAAAGCUCGUAGUUGAAUUUCGGGGUUAGUAGGUUGGUCAUGCCUCUGGUAUGUACUGGUCUCACUGAUUCCUCCUUCCUGAUGAGCCGUAAUGCCAUUAAUUUGGUGUUGCGGGGAAUUUGGACUGUUACUUUGAAAAAUUAGAGUGUUUAAAGCAAGCUAACGCCUGAAUACAUUAGCAUGGAAUAAUGAAAUAGGACGUUCGAUCCUAUUUUGUUGGUUUCUAGGAUUGACGUAAUGAUUAAUAGGGAUAGUUGGGGGCAUUAGUAUUCAAUUGUCAGAGGUGAAAUUCUUGGAUUUAUUGAAGACUAACUACUGCGAAAGCAUUUGCCAAGGAUGUUUUCAUUAAUCAAGAACGAAAGUUAGGGGAUCGAAGACGAUCAGAUACCGUCGUAGUCUUAACCAUAAACUAUGCCGACUAGGGAUCGGAUGAUGUUAAUUUUUUAAUGUACUCAUUCGGCGCCUUA